GUUUUUCCAAAUGAGGUAUGGGGUUAAUUGAUUCAGCAUAUGUUGCAUGGUAACUCUCAGUUGAGAAGUAUCGGGAGCAAAGAUCAUAGGGGCUCCUUCCUAGGUAUUCAGAAACAGCAAUACUAUGGCAACAAGCCAAUCCAUUAAGCUGCCACUCUUUGCAACUACAAUCCCAUUGAUCAAUAUCAACUACUUCGACAGAUUCACCACGAACUUCAAAUGUGCUGCCAUGUGAGGGUAAUGGGUGAAGUGACCUCGCU
rnacentral:lncRNA from 1 species